rnacentral:rRNA from 1 species
GACGGAGGAUGCAAGCGUUAUCCGGAAUGAUUGGGCGUAAAGCGUCUGUAGGUGGCUUUUUAAGUCUGCCGUCAAAUCCCAGGGCUUAACCCUGGACAGGCGGUGGAAACUACCAAGCUGGAGUACGGUAGGGGCAGAGGGAAUUUCCGGUGGAGCGGUGAAAUGCGUAGAGAUCGGAAAGAACACCAACGGCGUAGGCAGCGCCCUGGACGACACCUGACGCUGAGGCACGAAAGCUGGGGGAGCAAACAGG